UCAAUGCCAGUUUCACCCGGAAAUGAAGCGCCUUUGGCCACGGAAGCAAACGCCUCUGUCUUCCGGGCCUGCCCAUUGGUUUACGUCAUGUCCAGACCAGCGCGCGCUUCCACCGCAGUGCCCGCGCUUAAAGGGGCGGUCCCUUAGGGCGGAACUUGUGCGUACGCUGGAAAACCGCUGGGGUGCGCGAUUCCGCACGGGGGCGCACAUGCGCAGUCUGGGGCCACGGUCAGUCCACUGGACAUUUUCCAUGCCAAAUAGAAAUCCACAUUCAGCUGGAAUCAUUCCAUCGGAAAGAGGUCGAAAAUGUACAGUAGGCAUGCACAAAGGAUACCGCCUGGAAAGAAGGUAAAACUGGAAAACAGGAGGGAGGCGGGGCCCAAUUUUGGCUUCUCCUUCCG
rnacentral:lncRNA from 1 species